AUGCAACUCAGGGGAUUGAGUCAGAGCCCAAUUUUGGAAAACCUUAGGGGUGUGGUUGUGCAUACUGAGGUUCACAAGGAUACGGAGUUUCUCAACAAAUCGUGGGAUAACAUGAAUCAACAUAAUCAAAAUCUUAAAGAGCCACCUGAUGGAUUUCAAACUGUGAAAUCUAGGAAAAAGACGAAGAUUAAAAAAUCUAGCUCUAGGCCUGGCACAAGAUUUAAUGCAGGAUAUGAAGUGCUUGUAUUGGAAUGUGAGAGGUAUUGCUAA